rnacentral:rRNA from 1 species
UACGUAGGGGACGAGCGUUGUCCGGAUUCAUUGGGCGUAAAGCGCGCGUAGGCGGCUCGGAAAGUCGGGCGUGAAAUGCCGGGGCUCAACCCCGGGACUGCGUCCGAUACUUCCGAGCUGGAGGUAGGUAGGGGAGAUCGGAAUUCCUGGUGUAGCGGUGAAAUGCGCAGAUAUCAGGAGGAACACCGGUGGCGAAGGCGGACUCG